ACCGACUAAUGUUGAAAAAUUAGCGGAUGACCUGUGGCUGGGGGUGAAAGGCCAAUCAAACCGGGAGAUAGCUGGUUCUCCCCGAAAGCUAUUUAGGUAGCGCCUCGUGAAUUCAUCUCCGGGGGUAGAGCACUGUUUCGGCUAGGGGGCCAUCCCGGCUUACCAACCCGAUGCAAACUGCGAAUACCGGAGAAUGUUAUCACGGGAGACACACGGCGGGUGCUAACGUCCGUCGUGAAGAGGGAAACAACCCAGACCGCCAGCUAAGGUCCCAAAGUCAUGGUUAAGUGGGAAACGAUGUGGGAAGGCCCAGACAGCCAGGAUGUUGGCUUAGAAGCAGCCAUCAUUUAAAGAAAGCGUAAUAGCUCACUGGUCGAGUCGGCCUGCGCGGAAGAUGUAACGGGGCUAAACCAUGCACCGAAGCUGCGGCAGCGGCACGCAAGUGUUG
rnacentral:rRNA from 1 species